rnacentral:misc_RNA from 1 species
AAGGUGUGCCAUAUAUUGCUGCAAGGGCAUAAACAUAAAUUCAUGAGUGCAGAGCAAAAGAAAAUCCAUGGAGGUACUAUUGGAAAGAUAAAGUUCCACCACCUCCUAUUAGGUAGAAUAGAAUUGUAAACAAGUUAACAGUAGAAGCAUUGGCAAGCACAUUAAAAAUGUACACACAUCUAGCUAUCUUCCGUAAAAGCAAUGGGGAUCUCUUUGCAACCCAAAGCAUUUAACAAAAUCUUUAAUCCAUUGAUAAAAUCAGAAUGUGAUCCAAGGUAAAAAUUUUCCCCAUGAAUAUUUAAACUGAGUCUUGGUUUUUAGAUUCACAAUCAAUGAUCCAAAUAAUUUCCAAGCCUGGUCCAGCAAUUUUUAAAGGCUUUCCCUAUUGAAAAUGCUUGCAAAAUCCUCUUCAUGAGAAUAAGGAUCAAAACUGCAAUGUUCUAUUGGGGAAAUAUUAGCAAAAAUAAGGAUUGACUUCAUCAGGAUUUGAAUCUUUACUAAGACCAGUUAAGUAGAAGUUCAUUAGAUCCUAUUGCUUGGAGCACAAUUAAUUCACUUGAAAAUUUUCUCCACAAUCUUCUAACUAGACCUGGGCUGCAAGUACUGUCAAUGGCUCAACACAAGGAUUUCAUUCAACACUCACAUCUAGUGGGUGAGCCAAAAUCAGAAAAGUAAUAAGAGGCAAGGCAAUCCCUUGUGAGAAAGUAGGGUGCCUGGAAAUGGGGACAGAAGAUGCUAG